rnacentral:rRNA from 1 species
GUGUCAGCCGCCGCGGUAAUACGUAGGUGGCAAGCGUUGUCCGGAUUUAUUGGGUUUAAAGGGUGCGUAGGCGGUUUUGUAAGUCAGUGGUGAAAUACUCUAGCUUAACUAGAGGGGUGCCAAUGAUACUGCAGAACUUGAGUACAGAUGAGGUAGGCGGAAUUGACGGUGUAGCGGUGAAAUGCAUAGAUAUCGUCAAGAACACCGAUAGCGAAGGCAGCUUACUGGGCUGUAACUGACGCUGAGGCACGAAAGUGUGGGGAUCAAACAGGAUUAGAUACCCUCGUAGUCC